ensembl:snoRNA SNORA66 Small nucleolar RNA SNORA66
UUGCAAACUCGAUUACUAGCUCUGCAUGAUGUUGCAGAAGCAAGGGGAACAGGUUUGCUAAAAUAAACAUGAUCAUGGAACCUGUAUUAGCCUCAAAAUCUAAUUAUUUGGGCUGUUAAUUCUGUGCUGUGGCAAGG